rnacentral:rRNA from 1 species
CGAAGGGUGCAAGCGUUACUCGGAAUUACUGGGCGUAAAGCGUGCGUAGGUGGUGAUUUAAGUCCGUUGUGAAAGCCCUGGGCUCAACCUGGGAAUUGCAGUGGAUACUGGGUCACUAGAAUGUGGUAGAGGGUAGCGGAAUUCCUGGUGUAGCAGUGAAAUGCGUAGAGAUCAGGAGGAACAUCCGUGGCGAAGGCGGCUACCUGGACCAACAUUGACACUGAGGCACGAAAGCGUGGGGGAGCAAACAGGAUU